rnacentral:rRNA from 1 species
CAGUCGCCGCGGUAAUACGGAGGGGGCUAGCGUUGUUCGGAAUUACUGGGCGUAAAGCGCACGUAGGCGGCUUGGUAAGUUAGAGGUGAAAGCCCAGGGCUCAACCCUGGAAUUGCCUUUAAGACUGCCGAGCUAGUAGGUGAGAGAGGUAAGUGGAAUUCCGAGUGUAGAGGUGAAAUUCGUAGAUAUUCGGAAGAACACCAGUGGCGAAGGCGGCUUACUGGCUCAUUCUAGACGCUGAGGUGCGAAAGCGUGGGGAGCAAACAGGAUUAGAUACCCGGGUAGUCCCUGUCUCUUAUAC